AUUGAACGCUGGCGGCAGGCCUAACACAUGCAAGUCGAGCGGAGCUGCGGACGGGUGAGUAAUGCCUAGGAAUCUGCCUGGUAGUGGGGGAUAACGUCCGGAAACGGGCGCUAAUACCGCAUACUAUCAGAUUAGGCUCGGGCGGAUUAGCUAGUUGGUGAGGUAAAGGCCUACCAAGGCGACGAUCCGUAACUGGUCUGAGAGGAUGAUCAGUCACGAUGGAACUGAGACACGGUCCAGACUCCGACGGGAGGCAGCUGUGGGGAAUAUUGGACAAUGGGCGAAAGCCUGAUCCAGCCAUGCCGCGUGUGUGAAGAAGGUCUUCGGAUUGUAAAGCACUUUAAGUUGGGAGGCGUUACCAACAGAAUAAGCACCGGCUAACUUCGUGCCAGCAGCCGCGGUAAUAC
rnacentral:rRNA from 1 species